rnacentral:tRNA from 1 species
GAGGAUGUAGCUCAGUGGCAGAGUGCUUGACUAGCAUGUGCCCUGGGUUCAAUCCCCAGCACACACA